rnacentral:lncRNA from 1 species
AACCAGGAUGGGAGUUGCGGCUAAAUCUGAACAAUCCACAGCUGCACCAGCCGUUCCUCCAAUGGAAUGCCCUCAGGCGCAGUCGAGCUUUGACUUCCCUGCAUUCUCGAGCGCAAGGCUGCCAACCGAAGAUCGAGGGAAGGUGCCGGCGACCUCAGCAGAUGAUGGGUCAUCGGGGCUUCCCAUCCUUUUUGAUAUUAGGAUCCCCAAGGGUGA